rnacentral:lncRNA from 1 species
CUGUAUCAAUGAACCGUCUUUCUUAAAUCACGAAUACAUAUAUGCCGUCAAGACCUUUAACAUACUAUACAAAAUGAACCUCUGUCUACAAAGCCUCAAAGAUUGUUAUACAUCAAAUUGGGCAGGGUACUGGCCUACCCAUAAGUCUGUAGCAAAACUCUGAUACGAUGAUUCAUAGACUCGGCUGCACUCCGAAUGAGGUGGAGUCUUACCGAUCCUUCGCUGAAUGUCAAUCACAUCUACUAUGAGGGCUCGUCAAACUGAUUAUCUAUACCUGCAGACAUGAAUGUAGCAUGCACAACAAAAGAACGUCNNNNNNNNNNNNNNNNNNNNNNNNNAAAUGUAUGACUGCCCAACCGGUGGUAAAUAAUGAUACAUAACUGCCCAACCGCCCAAUAACUACCCGACCGACCGUAGCUCGGUGAUAAAUGCAUGUCUGCCCAACCGGCCGUAGCACGUUGGUAAAUACAUAUCUGCCCAACCGGCCGUGGCACGGUGGUAAAUGAAUAUGCAUGACUACCCAACCAGCCAUAGCACGAUGGUAAAUAUGUAACUGCCCCACUGUUCUGGACCAUUAAAUGAUAAUCAAUAUUCUCUAUCUCCAAUCUUUUCUUCAUGCAUGACACAAGAUAUGUGCCCUUAAUUUAAUCAAGUUUAAAAAUCAGCUAAGGCUUUUCUUAUUGCUAAGUUGCUCCAGAACAAAAGGUUUCAGUUGUCCCUUAAAGGAGUAAAUAUUGUUGCCUGAAGAAGGAAUAGCAUCUGUGAUGCUACUGGCAAUCUGGAUACUUAUCUCUUAAAAUUAAAGCAUGCUGCUAAGAAAGAGAAAAACGCACAAGCAACAACUUCUAUGCGAGUUUUUUUUUUUUUCCCAACUGAAACGGUAAUCUAGCAUGACAAGAUUAAGCUUUUACUAACACAAGUAAUAUUUCCAUAUACAACUGCAAGUAUGUAUUGCAUAGAGAAACAUGUUUUGCAAAAGGAAAAAUAAAUUACUAUAUUAUAAAUAACAUCUUUAUCAAAUACUUCAAUAAGGAACUAUAUACAUACUUAGAUAUGCUUGAACAUUACUUUACUGGAAUUAAUAACAUAGACAUCCUUAACUGCUAAGAGUAGAAUCACUUAUGAAAUAGCAUUACGUUUACGUAUCGUUACAUGGAUCAUGCAAAAAGAAAGAAGGAAUAUCCUUAACAUACCUGAGUCGAUUCUCUUGACAAUCCUCUAACACACAUUAAUUAUGACAAAACACAGAGCAAAUCGUACGAAGAACUCGAAGUAAUCACGUUGCUAUGCAAAAAACAUCUUGGCUAAAGCUCUUUCUUAAUAGCGUUGCUAUGUUCCUUGGUUGAAACACUCUUAAGAGAUUAGAAAGUGAUUUGAAUCAAGAAUGUUAUCAUUAACUAAGAGGUGCUGAACGUUCUUAAAUCCUUCUUCUCACCAAAUCAUAUGUGUAUGAUAUAUGUAGCCUUUCCAAAAAUGAGAAUAAAUGGUCAUUAGAUGUUUGGCUUCC